CCUACGGGUGGCAGCAGUGGGGAAUAUUGCACAAUGGGGGAAACCCUGAUGCAGCGACGCCGCGUGAGUGAAGAAGUAUUUCGGUACGUAAAGCUCUAUCAGCAGGGAAGAAAAUGACGGUACCUGACUAAGAAGCCCCGGCUAACUACGUGCCAGCAGCCGCGGUAAUACGUAGGGGGCAAGCGUUAUCCGGAUUUACUGGGUGUAAAGGGAGCGUAGACGGCAGCGCAAGUCUGGAGUGAAAUCCCAUGGCUUAACCAUGGAACUGCUGUGGAAACUGUGCAGCGAGAGUGCAGGAGAGGUAAGCGGAAUGCCUAGUGUAGCGGUGAAAUGCGUAGAUAUUAGGAGGAACACCAGUGGCGAAGGCGGCUUACUGGACUGUAACUGACGUUGAGGCUCGAAAGCGUGGGGAGCAAACAGGAUUAGAUACCCUGGUAGUC
rnacentral:rRNA from 1 species